UUAAAAUCUUAAAAAAAUAAAAUAAAAUUCUUGCUGUAUUUUAUGAGUAGGCUACAAGAACCUAGUAAGAUUUUAAGGCAGAAGAACCUUUAGAAGGGGCUGAAGGUCACAGUUGUCACUCCUUGUGUGAAAACAUGUGAAUUGCCUUCCAGACACUUUUAUUUUGCCUUAAGACUACAACUGUGUUCUGUCUAGGGGUUCUGCUGACAGCACGACCGCACGAGUACAGUUUCCUUUCUGUGCAUCAGCACAGUCGGAGAUUGCAAUGCUGCUUGUGGCCGUUAGGAUUUAGUCAUGGAAUGCAAGGAAUUUUCAACAGGAAAUGUAUCUGGCUUUGAUAUAUUUUCAUCUGCCGCAGUCACUUAACCUGCAUGCCUUUUGGGUGUCAGCAUUUAAUUCUAGGAUUUCAUCGGAACAUAUGUGUAUAUAGUUUUCUCCGUCACUGUCUCGAGUCACCCAUUUGAUGCUGUUCAUGUACAGGCCCUGUUUUCAUUAAUAGUCACGUAAGCAGUGUUAGCAGGUUUUGGCAAAUGCUCCAUUUCAUCUAUGCCGAGGAACAUAAAACUCUUAUCGGCAGUAUAAUUUAAUUUCACUGUGCAUUUUUGGUUAGGAUGCAGCCAACAAAGUCAGCAGAAGUGCAAGUUGUUUUUAGGUGGCUCAGUUGUAUUGUAGUUGUACUUACUGUACCUCACUGCUCUUAAGUGUCUUCAAUAACAAAUAUGGUAUCAGCGCCAGCUUUUGGAUAUGUGACUUAUACAAAUGUCAAAGUAGCAAGUAUAUUAUUUUAUUUCCAAAGAAAGGCUUCUUUAUUCUCUCCACUACAUGAUUAAUGCUCUUAGCCAGUUGGCUGCAGAAUUUAACCUGGCAGGGCCCCAGCACAUAGUAGGUGGACAAUGAAUGGAUAUAACCAUUGUUCAAGGCUCUCAACAUACGAUUGAAUGAAGAUACCUAGAAAUUGAAAUAUCAAGGCAAUUGUGAGGAUAACUGAGGAACACUGGGUGAAGCUUAUGUAAUGUCAUGAUUUAACACAUGCCUUAUUAUUUUCAUAGCUCUCAAACUUAGCCCUACUAGGAGAGAAACUGUAUUUGGAACAGUACAAAGCAAAUAUGUGAGUGUUUGCAUGUGCCAUUCUCUUACAUUUAAACUAAAUAAAUUUAAAACAUUCAACAAAGAUUGAGUCAGGAGCAUUUUAUCUUAUUCAUCCUUAAAAAAAGCCUUCUUUGGUGCCAGGCAUAUAGUAGACACUCAGUAAAUAUUUGUUGGCACACUAGCUUGGUGCUGAAUAUAAGACACGUUCAAUUUUGUUGAAUGACCGAUUGAGAAUGUAGGAGUCACUGUACUCAUGGAGGGACCCAUUUCUCUAAGGAAGUUUCUAAUAUGACUGUGCCAUUUCUUUGCCUUGGGCUGGUCUUUUAUCAAGGUUGUUACUGACAUGUCUAUGCUUUAUUGGGGUAUCUACUAUAUGCCAACUAUUAUACUUGGUUCUCGAGCAAUAUCAUCUCAUCUUGAUACGUUGUACUAGUGAGAAUUACAAGAGACCGGCGGGAUUUGAUGGCGUGAUGUCUCACAGAAAGUUCUGCGCUCCCAGACAUGGGUCCCUCGGCUUCCUGCCCCGGAAGCACAGCAGCAGGCAUCGCGGGAAGGUUAAGAGCUUCCCUAAGGAUGAUCCGUCUAAGCCGGUCCACCUCACAGCCUUCCUGGGAUACAAGGCUGGCAUGACCCACAUCGUGCAGGAAGUCAACAGGCCAGGAUCUAAGGUGAACAAGAAGGAGGUGGUGGAGGCUGUAACCAUUGUGGAGACGCCACCCAUGGUGGUUGUGGGCAUUGUGGGCUACGUGGAAACCCCUCGAGGCUUCCGGACCUUCAAGACUGUCUUCGCUGAGCACAUCAGUGAUGAAUGCAAGAGGCGUUUCUAUAAGAACUGGCAUAAAUCUAAGAAGAAGGCCUUAACCAAAUACUGCAAGAAAUGGCAGGAUGAGGAUGGCAAGAAGCAGCUGGAGAAGGACUUCAGCAGCAUGAAGAAGUACUGCCAAGUCAUCCGUGUCAUUGCCCACACCCAGAUGCGCCUGUUUCCUCUGCCCCAGAAGAAGGCCCACCUGAUGGAGAUCCAGGUGAACAGAGGCACCGUGACCAAGAAGCUGGACUGGGCCGUGAGAGGCUCAAGCAGCAGGUACCUGUGAACCAAGCGUUUGGGCAGGAUGAGAUGAUCGACGUCAUCGGGGUGACCAAGGGCAAAGGCUACAAAGGGGUCACCAGUCGUUGGCACACCAAGAAGCUGCCCUGCAAGACCCACUGACGCCUGCGCAAGGUGGCCUGCAUUGGGGCAUGGCAUCCUGCUCGUGUGGCCUUCUCUGUGGCAUGUGCUGGGCAGAAAGGCUACCAUCACCUCACUGAGAUCAAUAAGAAGAUCUAUAAGAUUGGCCAGGGCUACCUUAUCAAGGACGGCAAGCUGAUCAAGAACAAUGCCUCCACCGACUAUGACCUGUCUGACACGAGCAUCAACCCUCUGGAUGGCUUUGUACACUACGGUGAAGUGACCAAUGACUUUGUCAUGCUGAAAGGCUGUGUGGUGGGAACCAAGAAGCGGGUGCUCACCCUCCGCAAGUCCUUGCUGGUGCAGACGAAGCGGCAGGCUUUGGAGAAGAUUGACCUUAAGUUCAUUGACACCACCUCCAAGUUUGGCCAUGGCCGCUUCCAGACCAUGGAAGAGAAGAAACCAUUCAUGGGACCACUCAAGAAAGACCGAACUGCAAAGGAAGAAGGAGCUUAAUGCCAGGAGCAGAUUUUGCAGCUGGUGGGGUCUCAAUAAAAGUUAUUUUCCACUGAAAAAAAAAAAAAAAA